rnacentral:rRNA from 1 species
AUUGAACGCUGGCGGCAGGCCUAACACAUGCAAGUCGAGCGAGCGGCGGACGGGUGAGUAAUGUAUGGGGACUGCCCGAUCGAGGGGGCUAACUAGUGGAAACGGUGGCUAAUACUGCAUACUACAGGUUAACUCAUAUGGGAUUAGCUAGUAGGUGGGGUAAAGGCUCACCUAGGCGACGAUCUCUAGCUGGUCUGAGAGGGUGAUCAGCCACACUGGGACUGAGACACGGCCCAGACUCCUACGGAGGCAGCAGUGGGGAAUAUUGGACAAUGGGCGCAAGCCUGAUGCAGCCAGGCCGCGUGUAUGAAGAAGGCCUUAGGGUUGUAAAGUACUGUCAGCAGGGAGGCGUUACCCGCAGAGGAAGCACCGGCUAACUCCGUGCCAGCCGCCGCGGUAAUAC